rnacentral:rRNA from 1 species
UACGUAGGGGGCAAGCGUUGUCCGGAAUUAUUGGGCGUAAAGAGCGCGUAGGCGGUCCGAUAAGUCGGCUGUGAAAGUCAGGGGCUCAACCCUUGGAAGCCGGCCGAUACUGUCGGACUAGAGUCCGGAAGAGGCGAGUGGAAUUCCGGUGUAGCGGUGAAAUGCGCAGAUAUCGGGAGGAACACCAAUGGCGAAGGCAGCUCGCUGGGACGGUACUGACGCUGAGGCGCGAAAGCGUGGGGAGCAAACAGG